UGACGGGAAGUGUGGUGUGUAUAGUGUUCAUUGUCGGAUGGAAUAGCUUCAAAGUCUUCUUGAAUGAGGCUUCCCAGAGUGGGUGUAAGGCCUGUAGGAGGCUGUUCUGUCAAGCAUUGAAUACUCGAAGAGUCGGGUUGUUUGUGAGUACAACCCAAAGCAGGUGGUAAACUCCAUCUAAGGCUAAAUAUGUGUACGAGUCCGAUAGCGAACAAGUACCGUGAGGGAAAGUUGCAAAGAACUUUGAAGAGAGAGUUCAAGAGUACGUGAGACCGCCCGGAGUGAAGCGGGUGAAGCCACAUGGUUACUCGUUGGAAUCAGUUGUUCGAUUGGUAUGCGGGUGCAGUUGUUGCAUUUGCUGAGAGGCAGAUGAAUGGCUGUACACGAGAGUUGAAUCCUGGUCGGGCAAUGCAGUUCUGACUUGUAAUGUGCCACGAGUGGUAUGCAGCACACUGAUGUGAUUCUUAUAGGUAGCCGUUCCAGUUGGAUUGUGCCAAUUGGUAAUGGUGAAUGUAAGAGUUAUUCUGCUGUGUUGUAGUACCUUGGACAGCUUGAUCUCAGUUGAAGCGGCUUAUGCCGUGAUAUGGGGCACGUAGGAUGUCUCGUUAGGUAUAUCUAGUUCGGGACUGCGUUGCAGUGUUGGAUUGGAUGUAUUUAACUUGGCUUUCUGUUUGUCCAGUGAAUCGAAUAAGAUGCUGUUCGGUGGCCAGUUGGUAACUCACCUGUCCCGUCUUGAAACACGGACCAAGAAGUACAGCAUGCAGGCGAGUCUUAGGGUGAAUAAAACCCGAAGGCGAAGUGAAAGCAAAGGCUAUCCUUGGGGUAGUCUAGAUGUGAUCCGGUGUUAGAGAAUCUACACUGGCGCAACAUCGUCUCGUCGUGAUCCCGUGUGGAUGCGGCGAAGAUUGAGCCUGCACGCUGUGACCCGAAAGAUGGUGAACUAUGCCAGAGGAGGGUGAAGCCAGAGGAAACUCUGGUGGAAGCCCGAAGCGAUUCUAACGUGCAAAUUGAUCGUCAGACUUUGGUAUAGGGGCGAAAGACUAAUCGAACCAUCUAGUAGCUGGUUCCCUCCGAAGUUUCUCUCAGGAUAGCUGGUACUCAUAGAAUUUUACCCUGUAAAGCGAAUGAUUAGAGUGCUUUGGUUUGAAAUGAACUAAACCUAUUCUCAAACUGUGAAUGGACGAGUAGCCUGACUCGCGUGAUAGGAGUCGGGAAGUGAAUUUGUGUAGUGCCAAGUGGGCCAUUUUUGGUAAGCAGAACUGGCGCUGUGGGAUGAACCAAACGUUCGGUUAAGGUGCCAAAAGGACGCUCAUGCGAAAACACAAAAGGUG
rnacentral:rRNA from 1 species